AUUGAACGCUGGCGGCAGGCCUAACACAUGCAAGUCGAGCGAGCGGCGGACGGGUGAUUAAUGUAUGGGGACUGCCCGAUAGAGGGGGAUAACUACUGGCAACUGUGGCUAAUACCGCAUACUAUCGGAUAACCCAUAUGGGAUUACCUAGUAGGUGUGGUAAAGGCUCACCUAGGCGACGAUCUCUAGCUGGUCUGAGCGGCUUAUACGCCACACUGGGACUGAGACACGGCCCAGACGCCUACGGAGGCAGCAGUGGGGAAUAUUUGACAAUGGGCGCAAGCCUGAUGCAGCCAUGCGGCGUGUAUGAAGAAGGCCUUAGGGUUGUAAAGUACUUUCAGCGGGGAGGCGUUACCCGCAGAAGAAGCACCGGCUAACUCCGUGCCAGCCGCCGCGGUAAUUC
rnacentral:rRNA from 1 species